CUUAAAUAUGCAACUAGCUUUUUCUGGAGGGGUUUUACUGAAAUGAGUUUAGACAGAGACUGCACAGGCCUCCAGCACUGCAAGGGCAACCCGGAAGAGAGACAACUUGCUAAGCCUUUCAAAAGAAUGGGGAAGUAUUGGUUCCAGACCUGCUGCAGAGAGAGGCUCAAAGAGACUCGGCACUGGCAGAACAAAGAAACCUAGGAGGGAAGCUUUGCUCCAAAAGAGAGGUUUUGCUUCAGGAGAAGACUGUUCCAAGAAAAGGGAGACUGGCUGUUUCAAACUCAAAAAAGCUGAUCUUAUGGCUCUUAGCAAAAUAACCAUCACCUCGAAUUGGAACUCAAGUCUGAAUUACAUGUGUUCCAUAAUCAAUUCCAUAUAUAUUUCUACUUCACACGGACCUUAAUUUGCCUAAUGGAAACAACCGGCGGUCACACCAAGCAGUGAGCAGGAAUGACAGUGUUGAAUGCUUCUCCUCAUGACUAGAGAGAGAAUUACUUUCAUUCUGUCAGAGGGGCAUGGAGCCUUAUUUUACUUCACCCCACACCCAAUCCACAUAUAUACUAUUUUCUCUAUAUUCAACACAGAUCCAGAAUCUUACUAUCCCUUACUACCUCCUCGGCUGCCUAUUUGGUCAAGUGACCAUCAUAUCUAGCCUGGAGUCUUGCUGUGGUUUUCUAACUGGUGUCUCUGCUCCACGUUUACCCUUCAACAGCAGUCUAUUAACACAGCAGCCAAAGUGACACUUUUUAAGUGUCACUGUGGUACUAUUCUACUCUCUGCUGGAAACCCUGCCAUGCCUCCCCAUUUAGCUCAGAGUGAUGGCCAAAGUCUUUCUCAUGAGCCCUAAAUCCCCAUUCCAUGAGCCUAUAAUUCGCCUUCUACUCUCUCCUUUCUUACUUGCUACAGCCACAGAAGACUUCUUGAUAUUCCCCAAAUAUUGUAAACAUCUUCUCAUCUGAGGGUCUUUCCUCCAGCUGGCCCUUCUACCUGGAACACUCCUUCCUCACAUAUUCUCUUGGAAAAAAUUUCCUCACAUUUUUUCUAGAAUGCAAAUUCAAAUCUCAUCUCCUCAGUGAGGUCUACUGUGACUGUCCUAUUUAAUGCUGCUACCUGAACAUAACCCUACAUUACUACUCUCCUCCAUAUUUUGCACAACUGUUUUUCUUUUCACAAUACUUAGUGUCUAUAUACUCUCUCUAUAUAAUUUACAGUAUUAACCAGCUUAGUCUAUCAUGCUAUGGUACCAAAUGACCUCAAUCAAUCACUUACAAAAACAUUUUAUUUCCAUGGACUUGACUUCAGUGUCGUCUUCAUUCUGAAUAUUCCAGGCUGAAUUGCCUUUCUCCUGAUAGAAAAGAGCAGAAACUUCUUCUUGGAAGUAGCAUCUGUUACUUCCACUGACAUUUCAUUAACUAAAACAAAUAAUAUGACCAAGCUAGAGGUAAGAAAUGUAGAAAGUGUAAUCCUCCCAUAGAAAAGGACUUAAUACUCAUUAAUGUUUAUUAUUUAUUAUUUGUUCCCCCAAGUAGUACAUUAGGGACAGGAUUCUUCAUAUAUUUUUCUCCUGAUAAAUAUUAAAUACCUAAAGUUUUGCAUACAGUAGCU
rnacentral:lncRNA from 1 species